rnacentral:snoRNA from 1 species
GCUGGCAAUGAUGACACACUUGCCCUCACUGAGAUCCAUCACAGGGAUUGGUGUUGAGAACAUCCUCUGUGCUCACUUGGGCUGAGCCUCAGU